rnacentral:rRNA from 1 species
GGAAUAAGCUGUUUCAGUGGAAUUAAAAAGAAAUUUCUUAAGAGGUGAAAAUUCCUUUAAAUUAUACAAUAGACGAGAAGACCCUAAGAAUUAUAUAUUAAUAUUAUAAAUUUAUAAAAUUUUUGUUGGGGCAACAGGUUUGGUUAAAUCAAUAACUUUUAAAUUUGCAUAUUGAGUAUAUUUAAUAAGAACUUAAUUACCUUAGGGAUAACAGCAUUAUUAAUUUAUUAGAUUGUGACCUCGAUGUUGGACUAGGGACUUUUAAGGUGAGCCAUUUUAAAAGAUUGUUCUGUUCGAACAUGGAAC